CCGGUAAAACCAGCACCUCAAGUGUCAGGAGGAUUAUUGGGCCUAAAGCAUCCGUAGCCGGCUCUGUAAGUUUUCGGUUAAAUCCAUGUGCUCAACGCAUGGGCUGUCGAAAAUACUGCAUAGCUAGGGAGUGGGAGAGGUAGACGUACUCGGUAGGAAGGGGUAAAAUCCUUUGAUCUAUCGAUGACCACCUGUGGCGAAGGCGGUCUACCAGAACACGUUCGACGGUGAGGGAUGAAAGCUGGGGGAGCAAACCGGAUUAGAUACCCGGGUAGUCCCAGCUGUAAACGAUGCAGACUCGAUGAUGCAUUGGCAUAUAGCCAGUGCAGUGUCGCAGGGAAGCCGUUAAGUCUGCCGCCUGGGAAGUACGUACGCAAGUAUGAAACUUAAAGGAAUUGGCGGGGGAGCACCACAAGGGGUGAAGCCUGCGGUUCAAUUGGAGUCAACGCCAGAAAUCUUACCCGGAGAGACAGCAGAAUGAAGGUCAAGCUGAAGACUUUACCAGACAAGCUGAGAGGUGGUGCAUGGCCGUCGCCAGCUCGUGCCGUGAGAUGUCCUGUUAAGUCAGGUAACGAGCGAGAUCCUCGCCACUAGUUGCUAUCAUUAUUCUCAGGAAUAGUGGGGCGAAUUAGUGGGACUGCCGUUGUUAAAACGGAGGAAGGAGGGGGCUACGGCAGGUCAGUAUGCCCCGAAACUCUGGGGCCACACGCGGGCUGCAAUGGUAGCGACAAUGAGCUCCAAACUCGAAAGAGAGUGGCAAUCUCUAAACGCUACCACAGUUAUGACUGAGGGCUGUAACUCGCCCUCACGAAUAUGGAAUCCCUAGUAACCGCGUGUCAUUACCGCGCGGUGAAUACGUCCCUGCUCCUUGCACACACCGCCCGUCGUUUCAUCGAAGUUUGCUUUUAGACGAGGUGAUGUUAAUGACAUUAUCGACUGAGUAAU
rnacentral:rRNA from 1 species